rnacentral:rRNA from 1 species
UACGUAGGGUGCAAGCGUUGUCCGGAUUUAUUGGGUUUAAAGGGUGCGUAGGCGGCCCUAUAAGUCAGUGGUGAAAUCCUGCCGCUUAACGGUAGAUGUGCCAUUGAUACUGUAGGGCUUGAGUAUAGACGAGGUAGGCGGAAUUUAUGGUGUAGCGGUGAAAUGCAUAGAUACCAUAAAGAACACCGAUAGAGAAGUCAGCUUACUAGGCUAUAACUGACGCUGAGGCACGAAAGCGUGGGGAUCGAACAGG